rnacentral:rRNA from 1 species
UUACCAGGGUUUGACGAUGCAAGUGGUAGGAACCGAAAGGCGACGACCUUCGGGAGCUUGCACAGGUGCUGCAUGGCUGUCGUCAGCUCGUGUCGUGAGAUGUUCGGUUAAGUCCGCUAACGAGCGCAACCCUCGCUGUGUGUUACAAGUGUCACACGGGUACUGCCGGUCUUAAGCCGGAGGAAGUGGGGAUGACGUCAAGUCAGCAUGGCCUUUAUGUCCUGGGCUACACACACGCUACAAUGGCCAACACAAUAGGUUGCUAAGCCGCGAGGUGGAGCCAAUCCUCAAAGUUGGUCUCAGUUCAGAUUGCAGGCUGCAACCCGCCUGCAUGAAGUUGGAGUUGCUAGUAAACGCAGGUCAGCCAUACUGCGUUGAAUACGUUCCCGGGGCUU